rnacentral:rRNA from 1 species
CAAUAGCGUAUAUUAAAGUUGUUGCAGUUAAAAAGCUCGUAGUUGGAUUUCUGUGAGAGUGCCGGUGUCGGCUGAUGCUUGUACGCAGGCGCUCUUACAUCCUUCUGUUAACUGUUCUUGGCAUUUUAUUGCUGGUUCAGGGCUCAGAUAUUUUACCUUGAGAAAAUUAGAGUGUUUCAGGCAGGCUUAUGCCGGAAUACAUUAGCAUGGAAUAAUGGAACGGGACCUGUGCGUCUCUCGGGGCGCCGGUCUCCGUUGUUGGUUUCGGGGACUAAUGUAAUGAUUAAUAGGGAUAGUUGGGGGCAUUAGUAUUUAAUAGUCAGAGGUGAAAUUCUCGGAUUUGUUAAAGACUAACUUAUGCGAAAGCAUUUGCCAAGGAUGUUUUCAUUAA